UUGGAGGGCAAGUCUGGUGCCAGCAGCCGCGGUAAUUCCAGCUCCAAUAGCGUAUAUUAAAGUUGUUGCAGUUAAAAAGCUCGUAGUUGAAUUUCGGGGUCAGUAGGUUGGUCGUGCCUAUGGUAUGUACUGGCUUUACUGAUUCCUCCUUCUUGAAGAACUGUAAUGUCAUUAAUUUGGUGUUGCAGGGAAACAGGACUGUUACUUUGAAAAAAUUAGAGUGUUUAAAGCAGGCUCACGCUUGAAUACAUUAGCAUGGAAUAAUGAAAUAGGACGUUGAUCUUAUUUUGUUGGUUUCUAGGAUUGACGUAAUGAUUAAUAGGGAUAGUUGGGGGCAUUAGUAUUCAAUUGUCAGAGGUGAAAUUCUUGGAUUUAUUGAAGACUAACUACUGCGAAAGCAUUUGCCAAGGAUGUUUUCAUUAAUCAAGAACGAAAGUUAGGGGAUCGAAGACGAUCAGAUACCGUCGUAGUCUUAACCAUAAACUAUGCCGACUAGGGAUCGGAUGAUGUUAAUUUUUUUAAUGACUCAUUCGGCGCCUUACGGGAAAC
rnacentral:rRNA from 1 species